AAACUGCUUUUAUACAGGAAGAAAAACUUUCUCGUGAGAGAGCUUGACGGUACUGUAAGAAUAAGGAUCGGCUAACUCCGUGCCAGCAGCCGCGGUAAUACGGAGGAUCCAAGCGUUAUCCGGAAUCAUUGGGUUUAAAGGGUCCGUAGGUGGACAGAUAAGUCAGAGGUGAAAUCCUGCAGCUCAACUGUAGAACUGCCUUUGAUACUGUUUGUCUUGAGUUAUUGUGAAGUGGUUAGAAUGUGUAGUGUAGCGGUGAAAUGCAUAGAUAUUACACAGAAUACCAAUUGCGAAGGCAGAUCACUAACAAUUAACUGACACUGAUGGACGAAAGCGUGGGUAGCGAACAGGAUUAGAUACCCUGGUAGUCCACGCCGUAAACGAUGGUCACUAGCUGUUUGGACUUCGGUCUGAGUGGCUAAGCGAAAGUGAUAAGUGACCCACCUGGGGAGUACGUUCGCAAGAAUGAAACUCAAAGGAAUUGACGGGGGCCCGCACAAGCGGUGGAGCAUGUGGUUUAAUUCGAUGAUACGCGAGGAACCUUACCAGGGCUUAAAUGUUAGGUGACAGAUCUAGAAAUAGAUUUUUCUUCGGACACUUAACAAGGUGCUGCAUGGUUGUCGUCAGCUCGUGCCGUGAGGUGUCAGGUUAAGUCCUAUAACGAGCGCAACCCCUGUUGUUAGUUGCCAGCGAGUAAUGUCGGGAACUCUAGCAAGACUGCCAGUGCAAACUGUGAGGAAGGUGGGGAUGACGUCAAAUCAUCACGGCCCUUACGUCCUGGGCUACACACGUGCUACAAUGGUAGGUACAGUGAGCAGCCAGUGCGCGAGCACGAGCAAAUCUACAAAACCUAUCUCAGUUCGGAUCGGAGUCUGCAACUCGACCCCGUGAAGCUGGAAUCGCUAGUAAUCGGAUAUCAGCCAUGAUCCGGUGAAUACGUUCCCGGGCCUUGUACACACCGCCCGUCAAGCCAUGGAAGUUGGGAGUGCCUGAAGUCCGUUUCCGCAAGGAUCGGCCUAGGGUAAAAUCGAUAACUAGGGCUAAGUCGUAACAAGGUAGCCGUACCGGAAGGUGCGGCUGGAACACCUCCUUUCU
rnacentral:rRNA from 1 species